AGAAAUGGAGCUAUCUGAACAAGCGCUUCCCGGGUUUUCUAUCUCAUCAAGGAGGUAAGAACGGCACACACACCCCCUUCUGAUGCCUUAAUCUCGGGAUGAGAUUCUUUUUUUUAGAGGGGUAGGCUGUGACGACCGGUCCCUAAUCUUCCUAGUCAAUCGUAUCCUAGCCCUUGAUCAUAGUCAUCUGUCUUGUUUUCCCGACCCCUGAGACCCGACCCCUCCCCGCUUCGCUCCGAUCCCGACCCCGCCAAACCCAGCUCACCGUCAGAUCCUUCUAAGUCUUUCCCAAACGCCGUUCUAUCCGACCAGUGGACCCUUGACAUCUUUUUCCC
rnacentral:lncRNA from 1 species